CGCCAGACUCCUACGGGAGGCAGCAGUGGGGGAUAUUGCACAAUGGGGGGAACCCUGAUGCAGCGACGCCGCGUGGGUGAAGAAGCGCCUCGGCGCGUAAAGCCCUGUCAGCAGGGAAGAAAAUGACGGUACCUGAAGAAGAAGCACCGGCUAAAUACGUGCCAGCAGCCGCGGUAAUACGUAUGGUGCAAGCGUUAUCCGGAUUUACUGGGUGUAAAGGGAGCGCAGGCGGUUCUGCAAGUCUGAUGUGAAAGCCCGGGGCUCAACCGCGGGACUGCAUUGGGAACUGCGGGACUGGAGUGUCGGAGGGGUAAGCGGAAUUCCUGGUGUAGCGGUGAAAUGCGUAGAUAUCAGGAGGAACACCGGUGGCGAAGGCGGCUUACUGGACGAUGACUGACGCUGAGGCUCGAAAGCGUGGGGAGCAAACAGGAUUAGAUACCCUGGUA
rnacentral:rRNA from 1 species